GUCGUCUCAUGAACUUGGGAUGUGCCACUGGACACCCCAGUUUUGUGAUGUCUUGCUCUUUCACUAACCAAGUCAUUGCCCAACUCGAGUUGUGGAAUGAGAGGAGCAGUGGCAAAUACGAGAAGAAGGUGUACGUCUUGCCAAAGCACCUUGACGAGAAGGUUGCUGCCCUUCAUCUUGGAAAGCUCGGAGCCAAGCUUACCAAACUCACCAAGGAUCAAGCUGACUACAUUAGCGUACCUGUUGAGGGUCCUUACAAGCCUGCUCACUACAGGUACUGAGGGGAAGAGACGCUCACAGUGGAACAACGAUACGGCGGCAUGAUUGUUUUGUUUUUAAUACUUUUAUUUUGUUUAGGUAGUGUGUUUUUAUUUUUGUUGGGGGAUAUUUUGCUGGAAAGUUGACCUAAAUGUGUUUGAAUAAUAUUUGAAUUAUGGUUGGGGUGGUGUCAUAUGAUAUUGUACCAAGUUAGAUUCAUUUGCUUUCUUGUUUCUAUAAAAUUUGCUUCAAGGAAACAAAGCAUCAUGUUUUUCAUUUUCACUACAUCUUUGCUUUAUUUACUUGAUGUUAUUGCAAUUCUUCUCUUAUUUGGCUUCUGUUUAUGCAUCCAUAUGAGAGAGUUCACUUCUAAGAGGGAACAUAUGGUUGACUCCUAGUGAAGAUUUGCGUAGUCUUUGAAAUUUAUAUUUGUGACUUUCGAAAAGCAUAAUAGAGAUGAAAGGAGUAAAUUACUGUACUUUUUAAAUUAAACUUUAGGGAUGGGAACCACCUUGGGGAUUAUCACACCUCAGCACUCAAAAUAACUCCUUUUUGUGAAUAAAACUCCUUUCGUUUCACAAAGAAAUUUAAGAAUAUAAAGUAAUUUUUGAAUUUUAUGAUUCUAAAUUGGAAUUUGAUUAAAUACAAAAUUGUACUUUGAUUUACUGACCUUAAACACGUCACAAGAGGCCAUUCUUUUCGAAAUAAACUAAAAAAAAAAGUCAUUCUUUUUUAAACGGAGAGAAUAUCAAAAAAAAAGAUGUCCUUUCGUUUCACAAAGAAGUUUAAGAAUAUAAAGGAAUUUUUGAAUUUUGUAAUUCUAAAUUAGAGUUUGGUCAAAUACAAAAUUUUAUUUUGAUCUACUGACCUUAAACACGUCACAAGAGGCUAUUCUUUUCAAAAUAAACUAAAAAAAAAAUCAUUCUUUUUUAAAUGAAGGAGUAUAAAAAAAAGAUGAAAGAUUCUUAAUUUUUUUUUUCUAAUUGUACAAAUAAUUAACUACAUUGAGCAUAAAUCUCUCUUUACAUCAUUUAAAAUGAUGACACACUUGAAUUUUUUUUUUUUUUGGGAGAAUUUGAAAUUUCAGAUCAUAAAUUUGAGCCCCAUUUAGCCAAAACAAUAAUUUGUAUGUACACUUCUUCUAACUAUUUUGUGCAAUCUAAAAGGACCUCAAAUUUGAGAUAUUUGGGUGAAAAAGUUGAAUGCUUGUUGGAAAAGAAAUAGCUUUUUUAAAGGGAGAACAAAACAAAAUUUGCUUGUAAAAAAAUAAAGUAAUUAUAAACUUAUUUGCCUAAAAUUAAAUGAUCUUUCACCAACCACCACCACCAAAUUUUCUUUGUUUUUUUCAACUUCAUUUCACCUAAUGCUAUCCAAUUAGAUAAGAUAGUCUAAUUAACCAUGGUUUAAUAAAAGAAACAUCAUGCAUCUAUUAAUUAUGGUUUGAGUUCGAGUUCUAAUAUAUAUGUAAAAACUUGAUAGAAAAGAAAAUCCUUCUGUUUUGAAUGAAUAUUAUGUAAUGGAAAAUCGAAUUAAUUGAACUCUAAAUAUCAACAAAUAUAUAGGGAAAUUUUAUAAGUGAGGUUUGUGAGAAUAGAGUAUAUGCAAAUUUUAUUAUUAUCAUAUGGAGGUAGAUACACUAUUUUCAAAAGACCGUCGACUCUAAUACAACUAUUUAAAUAUAACGAGAAAAUUAUGAUACGCCACAAAAAAUAGUAUCAAGUCUACUAAAAAGGAGCAACAACAAUAAUAAAAGAUGCAUCAAUUGAAACGUAAUAAAUAAUAAAUAUACUAAGAUAGAUUAUUAAAAACGAUGAUGUAGUAAAGUUUGAAACUAAUUUUAUUCUUUGUAAGGAAAAAUUGUAGUACUUUCUCCGUUUCACAAAGAAUGAUCUAAUUUGACUUAACACGAAGUUUAAGAAAAUAAAGAAGACUUUUGAUCAUGUGAUCUCAAAUUAAAGUUAUGUCAAAUGUAUAAAAUUACACUUUAAUAUUGUGGCCUUAUAUAUGUUAUCUAGAAAAUUAUUACCAAAAAAAAGAAAAAUAUAAUUUUUUUGAAACACUGAAUCAGAAAAAAAAUAAAAUUGUAGUCACUAUUGUGAGUCACUUUAAUUAAAGACAACAUGGUCCUUUUGCCGCACCGCAAUUUGGAAAUUAAGAUGUGCACUUAUAGUAGCUAAUUCAAUUUUAUUGGGUUCAUGUGGGAGACGUUAAAAUAAUCGUAUUGUUGAAUAUUUUAUCUUUUUUACUUUUAAUUUAAUAGAGUGUUUUUAUAACAUGGUAAAAAAUAUCGCUUAAUAAAUCACACAUUUGAAAACAUGAACAAUAGCCUGACACAAGUAAACAUGCAAAGGUUUCGACAUGUAAAAGGGGAGUUCUUGUGAGCAUAGUUCAUAUUCAUUUAUCUCUAAAAUGUAUAAGGUGGAGGCUCAACGUAUAAUUUUUGAGACUCAUUUUAGCUGUGCUCAAACAUUAUUCAUUAUUUUCUCGAGGACAAUUUUUCUUAAUUAUACCUAUACUGAUUGCCACGAAUAUUAACAUUUUUUUUUCAAGGUAAUGUUUGAUUUCCUGAAAUAUGUUACAUUUGAGAGAAAAAAGAGAUUAAUCAUUGCAUUCAUCCAUAAAAUACAAUGUUAUAAUUUGGUUCAUGAACUAUCAUUGGUAUCUUGAUCACAAAUAUAUCUUUCCAUUAAUGUACAAAUUUUACACAAAAAAUACAAUAAAAACCUUCAGAGCUUUAUGGAUCAAUUGCUAAAUGUAAGACAAAUUCAAACAAAUCGUAUUUAGAAUGAAUAGGUUAAAAAUAUUUGAACUAUUAUACUUUCACGAGUUACAUGUAUCUAAUAGCCGUAUGUUCCUUUUAUAUCACCAAACAAUAAUUUCGUGUAUAUUAAAAAACCCACCAUCACAUAACUACAUGUGUGUCUAUUACACACCCAAUUUACCUAAAAACAAUGCCAACUAACGAGGGGGUUUUAUUAUAGAGAGAAUUAUUAUUCCAAGCGUUAAUAUAUUGAGAUCUCUUUCACUCUUAAUCAAAUAAAAUUCGAAAUCAAAAAAUGAAAAAUGCAAGGGAGUAUUAAUUACAAGAAAAUAUGCUACUACAUCAUCCUUUCUCAUUCGUGUCUGAUAUUCAUAUUGAAGUCUAACUAAUUCAGGUUCACAUCACAUAAAAUCUCGUUCAUAAAAAAAUAUUCAAAUAUAAAUGAGAUUUGAUUAAGCAAAAUGACUAAUCUUUUUCUACCCCAUCAUCGCUACCAACCAACCAACUCCUAGAAAUAAAUUUAAAAACAUCACCUUAAUGAAAAAAUAAACUAAGCACUUCCAAUUUUGAAAAGAAAAUACAUUCAUCCAAUCAAAAUUUUAGAUAUUUUUUAUUUAUCAAAUUUGUAGGUCUACCAAACCUCAAUUUAAUCCAAUCAACUAUUCAGAUCUGAAACAAAUCUUGACCGUCCAUUUCCAUCAGAGAAGCCUAUUUAUACCAAUCACUUCCUUCCCUUAUUUCUUGCAACACUCUUCUUCUUCCUUAAAACCCAAAGGAAGAAAAGAAAAUCGCCUCUUUCUGUCAAUUUCAUCUCAAAAUCUCCCAUUUUCUCUCAGUUUUUCUCUUAUACUCGCCUUACCCAUGGCUCUACUCGUUGAGAAGACCACCUCUGGCCGCGAGUACAAGGUGAAGGACAUGUCCCAGGCUGACUUCGGCAGGCUCGAAAUCGAGCUUGCCGAAGUUGAAAUGCCUGGUCUCAUGGCUUCCCGUGCUGAAUUUGGCCCUUCACAGCCCUUUAAAGGUGCAAAGAUCACUGGAUCUCUGCAUAUGACUAUCCAAACUGCUGUUCUUAUUGAAACCCUAACUGCUUUGGGUGCUGAAGUUAGAUGGUGUUCUUGCAACAUCUUCUCAACUCAGGACCAUGCUGCAGCAGCCAUUGCACGUGACAGUGCUGCUGUUUUUGCCUGGAAAGGUGAGACUUUGCAGGAGUACUGGUGGUGUACUGAGAGGGCACUUGAUUGGGGUCCAGGUGGUGGUCCUGAUCUGAUUGUUGAUGAUGGAGGUGAUGCUACUCUGUUGAUUCAUGAGGGUGUUAAGGCUGAAGAGGAGUUUGCUAAGAAUGGAACAAUCCCAGAUCCUAGUUCUACUGAUAAUGUUGAGUUUCAACUUGUGCUUACUAUUAUUAAGGAGAGUUUAAAGACUGAUCCUUUAAAAUACACUAAGAUGAAGGAGAGACUUGUUGGUGUUUCUGAGGAAACUACCACUGGUGUUAAGAGGCUUUACCAAAUGCAGGCUAAUGGAACUUUGCUUUUCCCUGCUAUUAAUGUUAAUGACUCUGUUACCAAGAGCAAGGUAUGUGUGUUUUGCUUACUCUGUUUUUGUUUCUUGUGUUUCAGAUCUCUGCAUUUUUGUUUUGUCAAUUACUGUUUGAAAUACAGAUCUUAUAUGAAUAGUUAUAUAUUUUCUUGGAUCUUAUACAGAUGAAUUAUACUUGAACUUAAUAAUGGGUUGAUCUAUACUAAGUAUAGUAUCAGUAAUCAGUCGAAAUUUAUCCAAGAAUCUCAUUCCGGUAGAUUAUUUGUCGUAGUGGACUUUAGUAGCUUAAAGUUCACCAAUUGGAAGAUUGUCACUUGAAUUAUAAUAGGAACAUAUUUCAUUUGAUCUUUCUUGUUAAUCUGAUAAUAGAUGGUUACUUAAAUGUCUGAUCUUUGGUACAACUUUCCACUUACUAAUAUGCUGAUGAAUUGCAGCUGUGAUUAGGUUAGAUAUGUAUACUUAUAUGUCCUGUAAUUGGCUAAUGGAAGUCUGAUUCAAUUAAGAUGCUUGUUGUUGUAGAUCUUGUUUAGAUAAGAUAAUGUUAGCUUAUGGACUGAUGGUUGUAUUGAUUCUUUUGGUGUUUCAGUUUGACAACUUGUACGGAUGCCGCCACUCACUUCCCGAUGGUCUCAUGAGGGCUACUGAUGUUAUGAUUGCUGGAAAGGUUGCCCUUGUUGCUGGUUAUGGAGAUGUCGGCAAGGGAUGUGCUGCUGCCAUGAAACAAGCUGGUGCACGCGUUAUUGUGACUGAGAUUGAUCCAAUCUGUGCUCUCCAGGCUACCAUGGAAGGUCUCCAGGUUCUUCCUCUUGAGGAUGUUGUUUCUGAGGUUGAUAUCUUUGUGACCACCACUGGUAACAAGGACAUCAUCAUGGUUGACCACAUGAGGAAGAUGAAGAACAAUGCCAUCGUCUGCAACAUUGGUCACUUUGACAAUGAAAUCGACAUGCAUGGUCUUGAGACCUUCCCUGGUGUGAAGAGGAUCACAAUCAAGCCUCAAACCGACAGAUGGGUUUUCCCAGACACCAACAGUGGCAUCAUUGUGUUGGCCGAGGGUCGUCUCAUGAACUUGGGAUGUGCCACAGGACACCCCAGUUUUGUGAUGUCUUGCUCUUUCACUAACCAAGUCAUUGCCCAACUCGAGUUGUGGAAUGAGAAGAGCAGUGGUAAAUACGAGAAGAAGGUAUACGUUUUGCCAAAGCACCUUGACGAGAAGGUUGCUGCCCUUCAUCUUGGAAAGCUCGGAGCCAAACUUACCAAACUUACCAAGGAUCAAGCUGACUACAUUAGCGUACCAGUUGAGGGUCCUUACAAGCCUGCUCACUACAGGUACUGAGGGAAGACAAUUUGACAGUGGAACAAUAUUGUCGCGGCAUGAUUAUUUUGCUUUCAAUAUUUUGAGUUUGUUUAGGAUGAUAGUGUGUUUUGAUUAUUGUUGGGGAU
rnacentral:lncRNA from 1 species